UCCCUGGUGGCUCAGAUGGUAAAGAAUCCGCCUGCAAUGCGGGAGAUCCAGGUUUGAUCCCUGGAUUGAGAA
rnacentral:tRNA from 1 species